GAUGAACGCUGGCGGCGUGCCUAAUACAUGCAAGUCGAGCGAACAGACGAGGAGCUUGCUCCUCUGACGUUAGCGGCGGACGGGUGAGUAACACGUGGAUAACCUACCUAUAAGACUGGGAUAACUUCGGGAAACCGGAGCUAAUACCGGAUAAUAUAUUGAACCGCAUGGUUCAAUAGUGAAAUACGGUUUUUCUGUCACUUAUAGAUGGAUCCGCGCCGCAUUAGCUAGUUGGUAAGGUAACGGCUUACCAAGGCAACGAUGCGUAGCCGACCUGAGAGGGUGAUCGGCCACACGGGAACUGAGACACGGUCCAGACUCCUACGGGAGGCAGCAGUAGGGAAUCUUCCGCAAUGGGCGAAAGCAUGACGGAGCAACGCCGCGUGAGUGAUGAAGGUCUUCGGAUCGUAAAACUCUGUUAUUAGGGAAGAACAAAUGUGUAAGUAACUAUGCACGUCUUGACGGUACCUAAUCAGAAAGCCACGGCUAACUACGUG
rnacentral:rRNA from 1 species